rnacentral:rRNA from 1 species
AGACGGAGUUUCGGCCGGGGAUUAGUGGCGAACGGGUGAGUAACACGUGGGCAAUCUGCCCUGCACUCUGGGACAAGCCCUGGAAACGGGGUCUAAUACCGGAUAUGACCACUUGGGGCAUCUCAUGGUGGUGGAAAGCUCCGGCGGUGCAGGAUGAGCCCGCGGCCUAUCAGCUUGUUGGUGGGGUGAUGGCCUACCAAGGCGACGACGGGUAGCCGGCCUGAGAGGGCGACCGGCCACACUGGGACUGAGACACGGCCCAGACUCCUACGGGAGGCAGCAGUGGGGAAUAUUGCACAAUGGGCGCAAGCCUGAUGCAGCGACGCCGCGUGAGGGAUGACGGCCUUCGGGUUGUAAACCUCUUUCAGCAGGGAAGAAGCUUUUGUGACGGUACCUGCAGAAGAAGCACCGGCUAACUACGUGCCAGCAGCCGCGGUAAUACGUAGGGUGCGAGCGUUGUCCGGAAUUAUUGGGCGUAAAGAGCUCGUAGGCGGCUUGUCGCGUCGGAUGUGAAAGCCCGGGGCUUAACCCCGGGUCUGCAUUCGAUACGGGCAGGCUGGAGUUCGGCAGGGGAGAUUGGAAUUCCUGGUGUAGCGGUGAAAUGCGCAGAUAUCAGGAGGAACACCGGUGGCGAAGGCGGAUCUCUGGGCCGAUACUGACGCUGAGGACAAAAGCGCGGGGGAAAAAAAAAAAAGA